rnacentral:rRNA from 1 species
UGGGCAACCUGCCCCUAGCUCUGGGCUAACUGCGGGAAACUGUAGCUAAUACCGGAUGUGACACGAGACUGCAUGGUCUUCGUGUGGAAAGAUUUAUCGGCUAGGGAUGGGCCCGCGGUCUAUCAGCUUGUUGGUGGGGUAAUGGCUCACCAAGGCGACGACGGAUAACCGGCCUGAGAGGGCGACCGGUCACACUGGGACUGAGACACGGCCCAGACUCCUACGGGAGGNA